ensembl:lncRNA
GUGGGAUGGUCUGAGAGUGGCUGAGGGUUGGUCUAUGGUGAUAGGUGGGAUGGUCUGAGAGUGGCUGAGGGUUGGUCUAUGGUGAUAGGUGGGAUGGUCUGAGAGUGGCUGAGGGUUGGUCUAUGGUGAUAGGUGAGAUGGUCUGAGAGUGGCUGAGGGUUGAGAUUAAAGAGCUGAGGUCUAUGGUGAUAGGUGGGAUGGUCUGAGAGUGGCUGAGGGUUGGUCUAUGGUGAUAGGUGGAAUGGUCCGAGAGUGGCUGAGGGUUGGUCUAUGGUGAUAGGUGGGAUGGUCUGAGAGUGGCUGAGGGUUGGUCUAUGGUGAUAGGUGGGAUGGUCUGAGAGUGGCUGAGGGUUGGUCUAUGGUGAUAGGUGGGAUGGUCUGAGAGUGGCUGAGGGUUGGUCUAUGGUGAUAGGUGGGAU